ACGAGGAUUGCGGGGCCAGCAAGGAACAUCUGGAAAGCCGGGAAGACGGGGACGAAGCGGCAAGGACGGGGAACGUGGAAAGCCAGGGCCUCCAGGGUCAAAGGGCGAUAUCGGCCUUCCGGGUCUUCCAGGCCUACCGGGAGAGAAAGGUGAAAGGG
rnacentral:lncRNA from 1 species